rnacentral:ncRNA from 1 species
GUCAUGGGGCAGCGAUCGCCCCACGAGGCUACGGCCGAAGAAUCGCGUCCUUGAACCCGCACCAACGGAGGACGCGCUGCCAUG